AUUCCUUCCCCGCAUCUGCUAGAGAGCAGGGCAAGGCCAAAGGGUCAGAGGCUCGAGGAAUGCGGGGUGGUGUCGGGGGGUAAAAGGACAUACCUGAGAAGGCCCCAGACCCUCGCUCCACCAGGAGGUAAGGAAACUGAAGCCUCAGGCGAAGAGAUGAUUUCAAAGAACUUCAGAGCUAAGAGUCUUCUUCGACUAAAGUAGGCCCCCAUGUUUCCUGGGAGAGGUGGAGCUUGAGGCUUGAGUGGGCUUAAAAAACAAUGAGGAUUCUGACAAACACAAAAGAGGGAGAGAAAGAGAGAGAAUUAGAGCAUUCCAGGCAGCAGGGGACUGAGAUAAAGGAAGGCCAGGAGGCAGGAAAGACUAGGAAGUGACUGGCAAGACUAGGCGGUUUAGUAGAGAAUCCAAGGUAUAUGCUUACACAAAUUACUGGGCAAGGUGACUCACACCUGUAAUCCCAGCACUUUGGGAGGCCAAGGUGGGAGGACUGCUUGAGCCCAGGAGUUUGCGACCAGUUUGGAAAACAUGAGGAGACCCCAUCUCUAUUUAAAAAAAGGAAAGGAAGAACUUGAAGGGCCAGUUCCAGAGACCCUGUGACCUCAGGCUCCAGAGAUGGCUCCGUAAGGCAAACUCACCAUGACCACUGGUCAAUGACUCACUUCUCCUCCCAGGCGCCCUCCCAGGGAUGAGCGCUCCUUCACUCUGCCUCCCUCAGCCCUUGCUCCGGUCUCUCUGCAGCUGGGGUCAGUGUUCCCAGUGAAGUCAGCGUGUGGAGCACACAUGCCUCGUACCCACAUUCAUGCCCAUGUGUGCGUGUGCACACGCAUGUGGGGCCUGUGUGUCUCUUUCUCUGAGACCCACUCAAGAUCUGCAUGCACCUCGGGCCCCCUCCCAGAGUGCUGCAGCCAGAUGCACCUGGAGCCCCACCCGUCAGCCCAGGGAGACAUGCCCCUGCUGAAUUCAGAGAAUGAUCCAGAAGGAUUCAGGAAAUGAGGACCAUUCAUGAACCCAGCGACUGAUGAAGAGCACCUUCCUCACAUCCGCUGCCAAACUCACCCGAAAAGAAGAGACAGAGGAAGACCCCAGAGGAUUGCAAUUUGAGGACACCUCCAACUCAUGCUCACUGCACUUGGUCCAAAAUGAUCAGAGGGGAGAUUUGGCUCAUGCUCUGGCCUCACUGGCUCCCAUCACCAUUGCCUCUGCCCCUCCAGCCUCUGCCAGGCGCCUGGCUCUGACCCUUGCUGACACUUCAGGCCCCUCACCCUUAGAACUGACUGCCAAAGGGCUAGUUGCUUAGUCUUCAAGUAAAGGGGGUCUGGAGGACUAUGGAGGAGGCAUAGUGCCUAGAGAGCCCCUCGCCUCAAGACACCCCCACUGCACUUGGGAGGAAAGGCAGGGCUGGGGGAUGGAGGCACUGUGGGGGCCUUUCCUAUUUGGCAGCAGCUGCAGCCAUGCGCACCAUAGCCACAGCACGCAGCACACAUCUUCUGUCUCACAGUGAUUGAAGAUUUUGCCAAACCACCGGUCAGACAGAUUUCCCCCCAAGCCCCACAUUAAUUGAUUUUUGGAUUCUGCAACCCAAGCUCAAGCUCAAGCUCCGAGCUCACUGCUGAGCUCAGACUCCUGGGUGUCCCACAACGGCUUCGAUGUGGAGGCCAUGACGCUGAAGCCAAAGUUGUCAGACACCUGGGCUGCACUUGCCUGUGCAACGAGCCUGGGAAAGCAGCUCUGGGGAUUGCACCCACAGUGCCAGGGCUCGGGAGCCUCUGAGCUCAGGGAGGCCUUCAGGGACAGGCGCUCGGCCAGCUGCCUGGGUAGGCUACUAAUGAGCAGAUGUGUUCCAGGCUGUCUGCCCAAGGGGCAGCUGCACCUGGGCUGGAGAGCUGAGACUCUCUGGGGUUCUGCAGCCUCUGUCCUCCUCAGCCUGGCCCGACAGCCCCUCGUUCUGAUACAGGAGGGCACAGCUGCCUGACGCCCCUCCUUCCCCAUCUCUGCCUCUCUAAUCUUCCUUGAGGAAGAUUCCAUCAGAGGUUUUACUUACAUAUUCCUACACCAUGCCUGGAACAUAGUAGGUACUCAAUAAAUCCAACUUUUCCUGAGUUAGUGGUGAGGAAAAGCUGGACUCAGGAUCAGGCUGCCUGUGAAGCCUGGCCUGUAGCCUGCCAGCUCUCCCAGCCUCAGGGUCCUCACACCCACACGUGUGUGCAGUAACAGAGCACUUCUUGCCUGCAACAGUGCCUGGUUCCCAGUGUAUGCCACUGGGAUCCGUAUUAUUAUUAAGUGAUCCGUAUUAUUAUUUUAUCUUAAGAGAGGAAUCCAGCUGUGUCCAAAUGAGGGGUUGGGACAAAAUAAAAGCUAGAAUCCAGUCUUGCAGGUGGGGACAUGGCACCUGGGUCUCCACACUGACCCGUGCUGCCCACCCUCUCACAUGCUAUCUAGAGACGGCACUCCUUGUGGAAUGCUGCAGGAGGUGCUCCACUGGCACGAAGUGGGUGGGCUCUUAGCACAGACCCAAACAGUAAGUGACUUUUCACACUCCCAUCGCAUCUCCAAAGCUACAUGCAAAACACUGAUCUUCACAGGGGUUAGAACACAACUUCCAGAAGGCCUCUUUCUUUUUUUUUUUUUUCUCCCUUUUUUUUUUUUAUUAUUAUACUUUAAGUUCUGAGAUACAUGUGCAGAACAUGCAGGUUUGUUACAUAGGUAUACAAGAGCCAUGGUGGUUUGCUGCACCCAUCAACCCGUCAUCUACAUUACGUAUUUCUCCUAAUGCUAUCCCUCCCCUAACCCCCAACCCCCUGGCAGGCCCCAGUGUGUGAUGUUCCCCUCCCUGUGUUCAUGUGCUCUCACUGUUCAACUCCCACUUAUGAGGGAGAACAAGCAGUGUUUGGUUUUCUGUUCCUGUGUUAGUUUGCUGAGAAUGAUGGUUUCCAGCUUCAUCCAUGUCCCUGCAAAGGACAUGAAGUCAUCCUUUUUGAUGGCUGUAUAGUAUUCCAUGGUGUAUAUGUGCCAUGUUUUCUUUAUCCAGUCUAUCAUUGAUGGGCAUUUGGGUUGGUUCCAAGUCUUUGUUAUUGUGAACAGUGCUGCAAUAAACAUACGUGUGCAUGCGUCUUUAUAGUAGAAUAAUUGAUAAUCCUUUUGUUAUAUACCCAGUAAUGGCAUUGUUGGGUCAAAUGGUAUUUCUUGUUCUAGAUCCUUGAGGAAUCGCCACACUGUCUUUCACAAUGGUUGAACUGGUUUACACUCCCACCAACAGUGUAAAAGCAUGCCUAUUUUUCCACAUCCUCUCCAGCAUCUGUUGUUGCCUGACUUUUUAAUGAUCACCAUUCUAACUAGCAUGAGAUGGUAUCUCAUUAUGGUUUUGAUUUGCAUUUCUCUAAUGACCAUUUCUCUAAUGAUGAGCUUUUUUUCAUAUGUUUGUUGGCUGCAAAAAUGUCUUCUUUUGAGAAGUGUCCAUUCAUAUCUUUUGCCCAUUUUUUGAGUGGGGUUGCUUUUUUCUUAUAAACUUGUUAAAGUUCCUUAUAGAUUCUGGAUAUUAGCCCUUUGUCAGAUGGAUAGAUUGCAAAAAUUUUCUCCCAUUCUGUAGGUUGUCUGUUCACUCUGAUGAUAGUUUCUUUUGCUGUGCAGAAGCUCUUUAGUUUAAUUAGAU
rnacentral:lncRNA from 1 species